rnacentral:tRNA from 1 species
GCUUAAUUAGUUUAUGAAAAAUGUUAGAUUGUGGAUUUAAAGAAGUUUAGACAUUAGGUA